GACGAACGCUGGCGGCGUGCUUAACACAUGCAAGUCGAACGGAAAGGCCCUGCUUUUGUGGGGGGCUCGAGUGGCGAACGGGUGAGUAACACGUGAGUAACCUGCCCUUGACUUUGGGAUAACUUCAGGAAACUGGGGCUAAUACCGGAUAGGAGCUCCUGCUGCAUGGUGGGGGUUGGAAAGUUUCGGCGGUUUGGGAUGGACUCGCGGCUUAUCAGCUUGCUGGUGGGGUAGUGGCUUACCAAGGCUUUGACGGGUAGCCGGCCUGAGAGGGUGACCGGCCACAUUGGGACUGAGAUACGGCCCAGACGCCUACGGGAGGCAGCAGUGGGGAAUAUUGCACAAUGGGCGGAAGCCUGAUGCAGCAACGCCGCGUGCGGGAUGACGGCCUUCGGGUUGUAAACCGCUUUCGCCUGUGACGAAGCGUGAGUGACGGUAAUGGGUAAAGAAGCACCGGCUAACUACGUG
rnacentral:rRNA from 1 species